rnacentral:tRNA from 1 species
GGGGUUGUAGCUCAGUGGCAGAGCACUCACCUCGUAUGUGUGAGGCACUGGGUUCAAUCCUA